rnacentral:rRNA from 1 species
GAUGAAUGCUGGCGGCGUGCCUAACACAUGCAAGUCGAGCGGCAGCGCGAGUAGUUUACUACUUGGCGGCGAGCGGCGGACGGCUGAGUAACGCGUGGGAACGUGCCCCAAAGUGAGGAAUAACUGCCCGAAAGGGUGGCUAAUGCCGCAUAUGAUCUUCGGAUUAAAGUCUUCGGACGCUUUGGGAGCGGCCCGCGUCGGGUUAGGUUGUUGGUGAGGUAAUGGCUCACCAAGCCGACGAUCCGUAGCUGGUCUGAGAGGAUGAUCAGCCAGACUGGGACUGAGACACGGCCCAGACUCCUACGGGAGGCAGCAGUGAGGAAUCUUCCACAAUGGGCGAAAGCCUGAUGGAGCAACGCCGCGUGCAGGAUGAAUGCCUUCGGGUUGUAAACUGCUUUUAUAAGUGAGGAAUAUGACGGUAACUUAUGAAUAAGCACCGGCUAACUACGUGCCAGCAGCCGCCGUAA